rnacentral:rRNA from 1 species
UACGUAGGUGGCUAGCGUUGUCCGGAUUUACUGGGCGUAAAGAGCGCGCAGGCGGUCGUUCAAGUCGAGUGUGAAAGCCCCCGGCUCAACUGGGGAGGGUCACUCGAUACUGAUCGACUUGAAGGCGGGAGAGGGAAGCGGAAUUCCCGGUGUAGUGGUGAAAUGCGUAGAUAUCGGGAGGAACACCAGUGGCGAAGGCGGCUUGCCAGAAUGCGCUCGACGGUGAGGGAUGAAAGCUGGGGGAGCAAACCGG